UAGUUGGUGAGGUAAUGGCUCACCAAGGCUAUGACGCAUAACUGGUUUGAGAGGAUGAUCAGUCACACUGGAACUGAGACACGGUCCAGACUCCUACGGGAGGCAGCAGUGGGGAAUAUUGCACAAUGGACGAAAGUCUGAUGCAGCAACGCCGCGUGGAGGAUGACACAUUUCGGUGCGUAAACUCCUUUUAUAUAGGAAGAUAAUGACGGUACUAUAUGAAUAAGCACCGGCUAACUCCGUGCCAGCAGCCGCGGUAAUACGGGGGGUGCAAGCGUUACUCGGAAUCACUGGGCGUAAAGAGCAUGUAGGCGGAUUAAUAAGUUUGAAGUGAAAUCCUAUAGCUUAACUAUAGAACUGCUUUGAAAACUGUUAAUCUAGAAUGUGGGAGAGGUAGAUGGAAUUUCUGGUGUAGGGGUAAAAUCCGUAGAGAUCAGAAGGAAUACCGAUUGCGAAGGCGAUCUACUGGAACAU
rnacentral:rRNA from 1 species